UAGGAAUUAGUAAUAGCUCUAUAGACUC
rnacentral:sRNA from 1 species